rnacentral:tRNA from 1 species
GGUGGCUCAGUGAUAGAGUAGUUGCCUUGCAUGCAUGAGGCCCUGGGUUCGAUUCCCCAGCACCA